GAGAAUGGUUGGCAAUCCUCAGUAACCCAGGCCACACAAGCGUCCAUAGCAGCUUUUUUUCAUCUGGCGUCACAAUUAUUAGCAGCGCCGUCUCCUUAAGCGAUUUGCAACACUUAUGUCGAUUUAAAUUUGAAGAAUUUUUUGGCAAAUAUUUUAAAAUAUUGUUACAGGAUUGGCAGUAUAUAAAUCCAUUCAAAAUAAUGUCAUCCUCUUUAAUAAUUUCAGAUAAUAUGUUCCAAACAUGGCUCCUUCCCUUAUGUCGGGCUGACAAUGUGUAGACGUUUGUAUGUAUUUUUUCUAAAAUAUUUUCUCAAAUACAUACUAAAAUAUUAGUUGUGUACCAAAUUCUUAGUGCAAUGCAUGUGACGCAUAAGCUGAUCGCGAACGAAGCAUACAAAAACAAUAUACAUACCAGAGAACUGCAAAACUCACUUUUUCCUUGAAUCAGCUCAUACGCAAAAGUUUCUAUUCAAAUCCAAUCACUGGAAUAGCACUUGUGGUAUUUACUAUAGUGGCCAUAUAAAGGAGCUCAAAUUUGGUAUGGGAUUCGUGGUGGAAGAGAGACUCCUUCGCCGAGCCCUGUCAUUCACCCUAGUGGAUGAACAUCUAACCACCAUCCGUAUCAAAGCGAAGUUCUUUAACGUAUCGCUGAUUUGAUCGAUCAUGUUGUGAUAGGCGGAAAAAAAGUUUCCACUGUUUUAUAUGUGCUCCGGAUGCUCCGAGGUCCUAACAUCAACUCGGACUACUCCUGUUGCACCCAAAAUACGCACCCGCCUCUGUGCAGCAAAAGACUUAAAUCAACAAACACAUGGAAAGUUCGACGUCGAUUAACUGCAAUCACAACAGAUAGCCGAACGAUUUUCUACUCUACUUGCACUCCUGUUCUUUGACAGAACUCAUCAGAACUAGGUAUAAGGGAACAGUAGGACGGCAUUUCAAGCUUCUUAUGUACAGCUGCAACCGAAACCAUUGGUUUUCGGACAAGGCAAAUGGCGAUGAGGAGUGCCGUGUCGCGAGAAAACAGACUGCUUACAUCACAACAUUACAAUCUACCACUUACGUGCGAGAUGGGAUAGAUACCGAGAGUUGAAAUAAGAAACGGGAUGCAUUUGAGGACAAAAAAUAGAAAUAAAAUAAACCGAAAUGCAUGAGUAGGAAGAGCUUGACAAGCUGGCCGACAAGAGUAAUGCUCGAAAAUUCUACGAUGUGGCGACUAGUAGAGGUUUCAAGACCGGAGCAUACUUUUGUAGAACCCGCAGAGGAAGUCUAGUGACUGAUGCCUAGAGAAAACUUAAAUUAUGGAGGGAACACUUAUCCAGCCUGCUGAAAGACAGUGAAAGAAUAACACCUGAUUCCCCAAUAGAGACGAUGAAGCGAACGUGCCAUUGCCCGACCAUAAACUUGAACCUUUUCAGUGUGGCUUUAGGCAUGGAAAAUAAACAAUCGACCAUUCGCAAAUCUUGGAAAAGACCCCUGAGAAGAGAUUCGAUACACACCCCGUCUUCGUCGAUUUCAAGGCUGCUUUUGACAGCACGAAAAGGAGCCGGCUUUAUGCCGUUAUGUCUGAAUUUGGUAUCUCCGAAAAAUAAAUACGGCUGUGUGAACUGACGUUGUGCUGUAGAAAAGCUCCAUCAGAAUCGGGAAGGACUUCUCCGAGCCGUUUGAUAUCAAAUGAGUUUCCAACAAGGCGGCUGCCUCCCUAGGAAAACUAAUUCGAGCUGAAAAGCUAGAUCGAGAAAAUAUCUCCUGUUAUCAAACAAACAGUCGUCGCACUCGCGAGUUUGCUUCUACGUCAUGAUAGUCGAAGUCGUAGACAAUUUCGUCUAUUUUGGAACCAGUAUUAAACUCAACAACAACAACUUGGAAUCCAAUGCCAACAGGUGCUAUUUCGGACUGAGUAGGCAAAUGAGAAGUAAAGUCUACUCUCGGCGAACAAAGCCUGAACUCUUAAAGUCACUCAUCAUCUCCGUCCUGCUAUAUAGUACAGAGGCCUGGACGAUGACAACAUCCGAUGAGACGACGUUACGACUUUUCUAGAGAAAGGUUCUGCAGAAGAUUUGUGGUCUUUUGCGCAGGGGUGACGGCGAAAAUAACGAGCUGUACAAUUUAUAACGGGUGAUUUUUUUGAGGUUAGGAUUUUCAUGCAUUAGUAUUUGACAGAUCACGUGGGAUUUCAGACAUGGUGUCAAAGAGAAAGAUGCUCAGUAUGCUUUGACAUUUCAUCAUGAAUAGACUUACUAACGAGCAACGCUUGCAAAUCAUUGAAUUUUAUUACCAAAAUCAGUGUUCGGUUCGAAAUGUGUUUCGCGCUUUACGUCCGAUUUAUGGUCUACAUAUCAUUUCUCAUUUCUGGUUGAAUGGCUACGUAAAUAAGCAAAAUUGCCGCAUUUGGGGUGAAGAGCAACCAGAAGCCGUUCAAGAACUGCCCAUGCAUCCCGAAAAAUGCACUGUUUGGUGUGGUUUGUACGCUGGUGGAAUCAUUGGACCGUAUUUUUUCAAAGAUGCUGUUGGACGCAACGUUACGGUGAAUGGCGAUCGCUAUCGUUCGAUGCUAACAAACUUUUUGUUGCCAAAAAUGGAAGAACUGAACUUGGUUGACAUGUGGUUUCAACAAGAUGGCGCUACAUGCCACACAGCUCGCGAUUCUAUGGCCAUUUUGAGGGAAAACUUCGGACAACAAUUCAUCUCAAGAAAUGGACCCGUAAGUUGGCCACCAAGAUCAUGCGAUUUAACGCCUUUAGACUAUUUUUUGUGGGGCUACGUCAAGUCUAAAGUCUACAGAAAUAAGCCAGCAACUAUUCCAGCUUUGGAAGACAACAUUUCCGAAGAAAUUCGGGCUAUUCCGGCCGAAAUGCUCGAAAAAGUUGCCCAAAAUUGGACUUUCCGAAUGGACCACCUAAGACGCAGCCGCGGUCAACAUUUAAAUGAAAUUAUCUUCAAAAAGUAAAUGUCAUGAACCAAUCUAACGUUUCAAAUAAAGAACCGAUGAGAUUUUGCAAAUUUUAUGCGUUUUUUUUUAAAAAAAAGUUAUCAAGCUCUUAAAAAAUCACCCUUUAUUACGACAGUAACAUAGUUCAGCUAGAGGAGGGACAGUCGCUGCGCUGACUAGAUCAUGUUGACCGUGUCUCCACUUCGUUGGAAAGAUCAGGUUGAGAAGAAUCCGACUGCACUGGAUAUCUGGAAUUGGUACUAAAUUCCGAUAACAAGAAACGACUAACGCACUGUUGUUAACUCGGCUAUAACGGGUAGCGGUGUCUACGCCAGUAAAGAAGAAGAAACUGUAAUUAAUUGAAGGAAUUAAGGCCAGGUUCCUCUAAACAAUUUUGAAAAAAAAUUUUUCAUAAAUUGCUACUGUAUACUCGUCGAAAUAGUAUAGAAUUAGUCCCGAAGGUCAGUAAGACCGAGAAGCAGGUAUACAAGAGUGAAGAGCGCUUCGGGAAAUCCGGCCGCUCAAACGCCUUCGGUAGCGGCAGCUACUGCGUGCCUUUGGUUUAAACUGAUUUUUCUCCGAACCUCGUUUUUUCUCAUUUCAAAACUAUUGCACUUAUCGAUAUGAACCAACCAGCAUUUUAUUCUUUAGAUGUCUGGUUAUGGCCUCAAGCAGAACCAGAAAUAUUCAUUAUCAUUGAAAAAAGUUAUAAAGAGUUAAAAGUGAAAAAAGGCUUAAAAAAGUCAAAAGUCCUCCUUUUUUUUUCAUUGAAAAUGUUUCAUUCUGCUUGAAGCCAUAGCUAAUUCGAUACAGAACAUGAAAUCAUUUUGUUUUUUGCUUUCAGAUAAUUCUGUUUCAAGAAAUGAUGUCAACCAUCUACGAAUCAGAUGAGUCUCAGCAGCCAUUUUCAGGACCGCCAUUUUGAAAAAAAAGAAAAAAAAUGUUUUCAAAGGAGCCUGGCCUAAACUAAUAACACAAAGAGCAACUCACAAGCCGAAUGCGUAAAAAAGGGGUACACGAUCACGAUCAGUCUCGGUUUGAAUUGUUAAUUGGGCCUUAAGAAACUCGGAAAUUUUAUAAUAAUGUUUUCCUUCUUGGCUUGAUUGCGCGCAUGUUUUAAUAUUUCAGGAUUUUCAUUACAUCAACUAUUCAUACAUACAGCCGUAAUUCAGAAUAUGUGACGCCACGGUUGCCCAGUAUGUACGCAGUAAUUACCGCUGAAAAUCGUAUCGUCUUUCAGAGGCAUGAGUGUUUGUAUAUCUAUUGCUUAGGCACUGCAGAGUGAACGCUAACCAAAGCCGAGGCCGAAGCUGAUUGGUGCAAACCAGUUUUGAAGUAUUUUUUAACGCCAACUCGCGUGUUGCAUAGUUCAUUUGAAUACUGAUCUUAUAUUUUGCUUACAAGGAAUUACUCUAAAUGUGGUAAUACAAUAUUUAUAAUAUCCCCUAAUAAUAUUUUCAAAGGGAAACUUAUGACAGGAAUUCCCUAAUCCAUUUAAUAAAUACCCGCUAUUACGAUGUUCCAGGCCAAAUUUAUACGUAGAACUCAGCACUGGUUUACUUUA